UACGGAGGGUGCAAGCGUUAUCCGGAUUCACUGGGCUUAAAGGGUGCGUAGGUGGGCAGGUAAGUCAGUGGUGAAAUCUCCGGGCUUAACCCGGAAACUGCCGUUGAUACUAUUUGUCUUGAAUAUUGUGGAGGUAAGCGGAAUAUGUCAUGUAGCGGUGAAAUGCUUAGAUAUGACAUAGAACACCAAUUGCGAAGGCAGCUUACUACACAAUGAUUGACGCUGAGGCACGAAAGCGUGGGGAUCAAACAGG
rnacentral:rRNA from 1 species